GCACCGGUAGCUCAGUUGGAUAGAGCAUCUGGCUACGAACCAGGAGGUCGGGGGUUCGAAUCCUCCCCGGUGCG
rnacentral:tRNA from 2 species